rnacentral:sRNA from 1 species
GGAUUACUCCUUUACGCUUUCGCGUUUGGUUGAUAAAGAUUCGCACCUCUAUCAAACCGGGUAAUCCCACCUCUUGGCAAGACCUGCUGUCAGAUCAAAUCUGAACUACUACAAUUUAUUAUUCUUUUCCGCUUCUAUACAAUCUACUAAAUCAUCAGUGGCGGAAUUGAUGUCU